rnacentral:lncRNA from 1 species
AUGUUACUGAAGAAACUGGAGCAAAGAGAAGACUGGCCCAGAGAGACUGAACACAAGUUCCUUUUGAACAGCCUUAAAACACAUAGAGUGCUUCUGACGAUUGGGAGCUCAUGGGAUGUGGCAGCUUCCAAGGUUUCUGGAUCUUCGAAAAGAAAAGAAAGAGGUAAAAAGGAGGUAGGUGGAUUGCAGAUGGUGGUGAUUCACUCACCAGGGUGUAACAAAGGUGCUUCCUACAAGCCUGCUUGCAAAAUUCUGCAGUGGUAAGUAAAAUAAAUGUCUGUUUUCUAAAAGGAAAUUGACACCAGAAAAUUAUGGUGCUGUUAGAUUGAGUUGCUUGGCUCUUUAGAUAGAAUUAAGGAAAUUUAAACCACAUGAGUGUAUGAGAUCCAAAGUUUCCAUUUAAGUUGUAAACUAGACUUCUUGCCUGUGUAAUUAGUUUAGAAAUCCAAUAUUCUACCUUUUCAUAAAUCUAACUCAACUACAACAAAAUUGAUUUUGAAAUGACCUUACCCCAUGAGGACAUGAAUGAUACAUUCAUACAAUCCUUCUUAAUUAAAAUAUCUCAUGAAGUGCUAACAGCCCUAUUUUAGAUUUCAUGACCGCAGAAAACCAAAAAAUGGAAGGAAAAAGAAAAGUUUCUUAUCAAUAAAACCUGCAAAGAGAUUGUGACUGAGGAAAAUGCUCAGGAAGUGUUUCCCCGAGGAAAGCGAUUAGAAGAAUGUGUUUUGAUUAAAUGUAUUUUGUUUAUUAAGUUCCAAGUACAGCCAUCUGGUCAGAUGCUGACCUCUGUCUGUUGUCUAGAGGACUUAGGAAGGUGGGAGGUACAGCUAGUCCUCUCCUAUACCCAGUGUUGAGCUUUUAGAUAAAGGACCUAUUUCUUUUCCUGGCACAUACAAAGAAAGAAGUAGUACAUGAUUUCUUAUAGGCUUUUAGUCUUGUAUUUAACUUUUAUUUGCAUUCUACAUUUCUGAUAUAUUUAACAAUUCCUAUUUUAUGACUAAUUCCAUGCUUCAAAUGGAAUUUCAAAGGCAGUUGCUGUGAAAUAUUUUCUUCUGAAACAUGUUGCAAAUUGUUACAUUUAAAACUAUUUACAUUGUCAAGCUAACAGUUCUUCCCUUUUAGUUAUAUUAAGCACUACAUUUUUUAGGCUAAUGGAGUGAUAUUUUUUUAUAUUGGAAUAGAAAUUGUACAGAGGAGCUUAUCUGAUUCUGUAAGAGUUGCUUGUAAAAGUGCAAUGACAAUGAAUGCUAGCAGUAUAUUUGAAGCGGUUUUGUAGAGCAUUGUAUGAGAAAUCCACGUUACCGGAAGCCAAGGACCACGAGUGAAACAAGAUCAUUUGGCGGUGUAAUCAGAAUUAAGCAAGACAAAAGAAAAAGCAGUGUAGAAAAUUAAUUUAAGCAGAACUUUUAAGCUUAAAAGGAGCAUGUGGCAGAGUAUAUCAAACGUUGUCACCUCAUUUAUCCUUCAGUUUUGGGUUCAGUAACUUGUUUCUGAGCUGGAGGCAAGGCAGAAGUUGUUUUUUUUGCAGCAAGGAUCAUUGUUCAGAAAGCCUCUGUUACAAUCACUGUGUUUUCUUGACCAAAAAAAAGUGUUGAAGCCCAAAGUGUAAAGUAAGUGCUCAACUAUAACAAAGUGGGAGAGCAUGAGAUUCAGCGAAUUAGAAUAAGCGGCACAGAGACCUCGUUACAGUAGGGAAACAGAUCAGGAUGCUAUUUACCUUGAAUGGAAAAAGUAAACUGUGGCUCACAGGUAGCAUUAGGAGGAGAAUCUUCCCUGUCUUAAUAACAUGUAAUGAGAGUAGCAUGAGAAUGUUUGAUUCCUUUGGUAUGUCAGUGAUUAUUUGUUAAUUAUAGCACAAACUAAAAUUGUGGGGCUGUGCAACUGCACAACAGAGCAUCUGACAAGAAGACAGCAUCAGUCUUCUGUGAAUGAUCAGUUUCCUUUUGCAUGGCAUAGAUAAGGGAUAGGCAAAAAGCACCCAGCCUGGGGAGUGGCACCCCAAGAGCCUCUUUGGGAAAGUGAGGAGAGGAAAGGAGCUGCGUGUUUGAAGGAGAGCCUGUCUCUCCUUCCCCUGUGUGCGGAAUGGGGAACUCUAAAGGGAAGGGUUUUGGAUGGUACCUGUGGCUGAAGCUGGCUCCCAGGUGUUUUCUCACACCUCUUUGGGGCUGUUGAUAGUGUGGCUGAUGGAAAAGGCUGAAGUGGGUCCAAGGAUGUAUUUGGUUGGCUUUGUGGUGUCUUGUGCAAGUCUUCCACUCACCGUGCUGGGAAGGAAACUACGUGUGGUUGGCCUGGGUUAGUGCUAAGGUGGUAAUGGGUUCAUGAGUUGACUGGGUGAUCUUAGUGGUCUUUCUAACUGUCAUGAUUCUACGAUUCUUUGCCUUGCAUUGGGAACCAGCCAGAGGCUGAGCACUCCAAGAGGGUGUAUCUAAGCAUUAAUCAGGUAUGUUGUUUUUUUUCUUCAUUCUUAAUGGAAUCUGAUGUUUUCAAAAUUUUUGUGUUUUAUCCGAGCCUCUAAGAUACAUCACAACUUUAUGUACAUCUUAAUAAUUUUGCAUUUUAACUGGAUUAGUGUGUGUAAACGCAAGCAGUAGAAAUUUAAAAUGCAACAGGCAAGGUUGUGUGACUGCAACUGCACCCCAAAAUGCGCUAAGAAAUCUCUGUAAAGUAGAAGAAUAAGAUUUCUGUUCAGGGUUGUUUUCCUAUCACAUUCAGCUUCCUUCUGUAGGCGCAGACAAUUGAGUGAUACCAGCAGAUUUGUCCCUAUAAGUAAGGCCUUCCUGCCUAUAUAGCUCUUUUCUUCCCUGCCACAGCUUAUUGCCUUUUUUCUUAAUUGAAUUUGUAUACCUUCUGCGAUGGUUUCACACAAACACCCAAUGUUGCCAUGCCUCACUUUGAAUGGGGCUGUGCGUGUUACUGAGGUGCAUAUUAAUAGUAAACAUAAAUGUGAGGUAGCCCUGUAGGGUAAUGAUGUCCUGUCUGUUUAUGCAGAGAGUGACAAAUACUCUUAUGUAUUUUCCAGUAUUCCAUGACUCUCAUUGAUUUUUAGUGUCUUCAGGGAGAGCAAAUUGUGAAUUUACUUUGGGAGUUUUGUAGAAUUGCAAAUCUCAGCAGUUAUCCUGCAGUUUGGUUGUAUAUGUCCCACGUGAGGUUCUCCUCACUGCAGUGAUACAAAGAGUCCUUGGAUCCUAUUGGCAGGGACUUAUCUUUGUCAACAACUUGAUACUGGAAAGACUGAGCCUUCCUGGGAUCCUGAAGUAACAGAUUCAGAGUAUGUGCCAUAUCUAGCCUCACAGCCCUUGAAGGGUGGAAAGUAAAACAAACUCAAUCUCUUCUGGUAACUCAAUUUAGUAUUAUAAUUUUGAUGAAUAAGUAAUAGAGUCAGCUUGAGAACAUAAAAAUAAUUGAGUGAUAAGCAUCCACUUUUUUGGCCAAGAAGCUUUUAAAUCCAUCUGCAGAGCUAAUUUUGUCAAUUGAUGUGUUUCAGCAUAUACCAGUCUUUGCUCUUCUGUAACUGCCAUGGUGUGAGUAUGACACCUGGGAAGGUAAGAGAGCACACCUCAGAAAUGCUGUUACAGAAAAAGCUUCUCUAUAGCAGCGGUGCAGCUGCUGAUUAUGGAUGCUGCACUGCAUUUGCGUUUUGUCCCAAUUAACCUGCCACCUUCUCUAAAUGAAGCUUGUACAAAUGUUUCCAUGCUUGACUACCAAAUGUCGCUGCAGCUCAGUGCACUCAACAGAGGGUUGGCUGUUUUAUGUCUUCUUUGUUAGGGCAUUAAAUUGAUUAUUUAUACGUUAUUAUAGCAAGUGCAUCAAUUUAAUACUAUAAUAAAAUUGUGGUUGAAUGUAUUUUAAGAUGUGCUAAGUGAAAAAAUGUAUAUAGUUGGACGUUGUUGAAUUGUAGUAAUACGAACCGGGCAGAAAGCAAAAACUAGAAGCUGCUUGAGACAUUUAAUGACUGUGUUAACAUUCCUGAUAGUAAAUUACAAGGUAAUUUAGGGGAAAAAAUAUAGCAACAAAAGUGGUUUAAGCAGUUCUAAUAAUGUCAUGAAAGUGAAAAAAAAACACAUCCAAAUGGAGGACAGGUACAUCUCAGACUAUCCAAGUAAAUUGGUUACUCAGAUUAUCAAUGUCUCUUUAAGUACCUCUAACUAUAUAGUAUAAUACAGGAAUUGGCACAUAUAACUGUUCAAAGUGAUGCAGAGAAUUCUGCAGUGGGCAGAUGAAGGAAUGUAUCUACAGGUGUUGCAAGCACCAUGGAUACAAAAUCUAUUAACAGGGCUGAAGAAAAAAACAAAAACAAAAAAAACGCCAAGGAAUUAGUUGUUGUUUUUCCACAGUUGCUGAUCUGUAACAAAUUUGUGCUGUAGCUAAAUUACUGGAAAGGAAAUU